rnacentral:rRNA from 1 species
CACGUAGGGCGCAAGCGUUGUCCGGAAUUAUUGGGCGUAAAGAGCUCGUAGGCGGUCUGUUGCGUCCGCUGUGAAAACCCGGGGCUUAACCCCUGGCUUGCAGUGGAUACGGACAGACUAGAGGUAGGUAGGGGAGAAUGGAAUUCCCGGUGUAGCGGUGAAAUGCGCAGAUAUCGGGAAGAACACCCGUGGCGAAGGCGGUUCUCUGGGCCUUACCUGACGCUGAGGAGCGAAAGCGUGGGGAGCGAACAGG